rnacentral:rRNA from 1 species
CACGUAGGGGGCGAGCGUUGUCCGGAUUCAUUGGGCGUAAAGCGCGCGCAGGCGGCUCGGAAAGUCGGGUGUGAAAACUCGGGGCUCAACCCCGGGCGUGCAUCCGAUACUGCCGGGCUUGAGGCAGGUAGGGGAGAUCGGAAUUCCGGGUGGUAGCGGUGGAAUGCGUAGAGAUCCGGAAGAACACCGGUGGCGAAGGCGGCCUGCUGGCAGUAGCUGACACUGAGGCGCGACAGCGUGGGAGCAACAGG